GAGUUUGAUCCUGGCUCAGAUUGAACGCUGGCGGCAGGCCUAACACAUGCAAGUCGAGCGGAUGACGGGAGCUUGCUCCUUGAUUCAGCGGCGGACGGGUGAGUAAUGCCUAGGAAUCUGCCUGGUAGUGGGGGACAACGUUUCGAAAGGAACGCUAAUACCGCAUACGUCCUACGGGAGAAAGCAGGGGACCUUCGGGCCUUGCGCUAUCAGAUGAGCCUAGGUCGGAUUAGCUAGUUGGUGGGGUAAUGGCUCACCAAGGCGACGAUCCGUAACUGGUCUGAGAGGAUGAUCAGUCACACUGGAACCGAGACACGGUCCAGACUCCUACGGGACGGCAGCAGUGGGGAAUAUUGGACAAUGGGCGAAAGCCUGAUCCAGCCAUGCCGCGUGUGUGAAGAAGGUCUUCGGGUUGUAAAGCUCUUUCGCGAGGGAAGAAAUUGCACCGGACAAUACCUGGUGUAGAUGACGGUACCUUGAUAAGAAGCACCGGCUAACUACGUGCCAGCCGCGACCG
rnacentral:rRNA from 1 species